AGGAGAAGUUGGGCAAAUUCAUCAACUACAGCUUAUAAGCAGUGCAAAGCAUCACAUGCAGCUAUCAAAAUGUCUUCUACAUCUUUUAUUGCUACAACUUUGGUGAUGCUUGUGAGUUAUGGGAUGGCACAACCUACAGACUCGGCAUUAUUCAAUCUCUAUAGCGGAGUGCUCGUGCAGAGCCGAGUAUUGCUUCGUGGACAAGACAAUGUGAACAACAAGUCCAUCAUUCCAUUCAAAGAUGCACCGCACUGUACAGUUUGUGGCAGCAAAGCUUUUUACAACCAAAUGCUCACUGUUGCACUGAUACACAACAAGUACCAGACAGCUAAAGCAAGGAACUCAGAUAGUCAACUACUACCAGGAUUGGCAGCUGUACUGAACAAACUUUCAUCACAAACAUGCCAUUUGCUGAAAAUUGAUCUUGGAGAUGAAUUUGACUGCGACAUUACCGCCAUCCUGAGAUUGAAAGCAAUACUUGAGAUUCAUUUCGCUACGGAAACAACACAGGAUUUGAUGGAUGUUUAUGCAGAAUCAAAGAUGAAUAACCGGCUUCAAGAUCGUUCAGAAGAUUGGAUUAACUGCAAUACAUGUAACAGUUCAACACUUCCAAUACUCAGAAAGCUUUAUUAUUAUAAAUCCCUUACAUGCAGAUGCUAGAUAUCUAGAUAUAGGUCAGACACCAUUAUACUUUUAAAUUGUAAUUGCUGCUUUUACAGGCUAUAUGCAUAUUUA